GAUGAACGCUGGCGGCGUGCCUAAUACAUGCAAGUCGAGCGAACAGACGAGGAGCUUGCUCCUCUGACGUUAGCGGCGGACGGGUGAGUAACACGUGGAUAACCUACCUAUAAGACUGGGAUAACUUCGGGAAACCGGAGCUAAUACCGGAUAAUAUAUUGAACCGCAUGGUUCAAUAGUGAAAGACGGUUUUGCUGUCACUUAUAGAUGGAUCCGCGCCGCAUUAGCUAGUUGGUAAGGUAACGGCUUACCAAGGCAACGAUGCGUAGCCGACCUGAGAGGGUGAUCGGCCACACUGGAACUGAGACACGGUCCAGACUCCGACGGGAGGCAGCAGUAGGGAAUCUUACGCAAUGGGCGAAAGCCUGACGAAGCAACGCCGCGUGAGUGAUGAAGGUCUUCGGAUCGUAGAACUCUGUUAUUAGGGAAGAACAAAUGUGUAAGUAACUAUGCACGUCUUGACGGUACCUAAUCAGAAAACCACGGCUAACUACGUG
rnacentral:rRNA from 1 species